AACGAACGCUGGUGGCAUGCCUAAUACAUGCAAGUCGAACGAGAAAGCACUUCGGUGUGAGUACAGUGGCGCACGGGUGAGUAACGCGUAGGUGAUAUGCCUAAUAGUGGGGGACAACAGUUGGAAACGGCUGCUAAUACCGCAUAAGCUUGGUGAAUUGGAAAAACCAAGGAAAGGGGGCUUCGGCUCUCGCUAUUAGAUUGGCCUGCGUAGCAUUAGCUUGUUGGUGGGGUAAUGGCCUACCAAGGCGACGAUGCUUAGCUGGUCUGAGAGGAUGAUCAGUCACACUGGAACUGAGACACGGUCCAGACUCCUACGGGAGGCAGCAGUAGGGAAUAUUGCGCAAUGGAGGAAACUCUGACGCAGCAAUGCCACGUGAGUGAGGAAUGCCUUCGGGUUGUAAAGCUCUGUCCUAUAGGAAGAACUGCAUUAUGGUUAAUACCCAUAGUGUUUGACGGUACUAUAGAAGAAAGCACCGGCUAACUCCGUGCCAGCAGCCGCGGUAAUACGGAGGGUGCAAGCGUUGUUCGGAUUUACUGGGCGUAAAGCGCGCGCAGGCGGAUUAAUAAGUCAGAUGUGAAAUCUCAGGGCUCAACCCUGAAACUGCGUCUGAAACUGUUAAUCUAGAAUAUUGCAGGGGGUAGGGGAAUUUCACGUGUAGGGGUAAAAUCCGUAGAGAUGUGAAGGAACACCGGAGGCGAAGGCGCCUACCUGGACAAUUAUUGACGCUGAGGCGCGAAAGCGUGGGGAGCAAACAGGAUUAGAUACCCUGGUAGUCCACGCCGUAAACGAUGAGUACUAGCUAUUGGGGGUAUUGACCCCCUCAGUGGCAAAGCUAACGCAUUAAGUACUCCGCCUGGGAAGUACGGCCGCAAGGCUAAAACUCAAAGGAAUUGACGGGGGCCCGCACAAGCGGUGGAUUAUGUGGUUUAAUUCGAAGCAACGCGCAGAACCUUACCUAGGCUUGAAAUCCCUCGAAUCCGACGUAAUUGUUGGAGUGCCCGCAAGGGAAUGAGGUGACAGGUGCUGCAUGGCUGUCGUCAGCUCGUGUUGUGAAAUGUUGGGUUAAGUCUCGCAACGAGCGCAACCCCUAUCUUUAGUUGCCAGCAUUAAGUUGGGCACUCUAGAGAGACUGCCCGGGUUAACCGGGAGGAAGGUGGGGAUGACGUCAAGUCCUCAUGGCCCUUAUGCCUAGGGCUACACACGUAAUACAAUGGUGCAUACAAAGGGACGCGAUCACGCGAAUGUUAGCAAAUCUCAAAAAGUGCAUCUCAGUCCGGAUUGGAGUCUGCAACUCGACUCCAUGAAGUUGGAAUCGCUAGUAAUCGCAGAUCAGCACGCUGCGGUGAAUACGUUCCCGGGCCUU
rnacentral:rRNA from 1 species